GGAGGCAGCUCAGUUGGUAGAAUGUUUGCCUGGCAUUCAAGAGGCCCAGGGUUUGAUCCCUGGCACUACA
rnacentral:tRNA from 1 species